rnacentral:rRNA from 1 species
UACGUAGGGGCCGAGCGUUGUCCGGAGUUAUUGGGCGUAAAGCGCGCGCAGGCGGCCUCGCGCGCCCGACGUGAAAGCCCCCGGCUUAACCGGGGAGGGUCGUUGGGGACGGCGGGGCUUGAGGGCGGGAGAGGUCGGUGGAAUUCCCGGUGUAGUGGUGAAAUGCGUAGAGAUCGGGAGGAACACCGGUGGCGAAGGCGGCGACCUGGUUCAUUACUGACGCUGAGGCGCGAAAGCGUGGGGAGCAAACAGG